AUCCAUCUGACGAGUCUGAAAUAUGACAAAACGCGCGUCCUGGAU
rnacentral:hammerhead_ribozyme from 1 species